AUUGAACGCUGGCGGCAUGCUUUACACAUGCAAGUCGAACGGCAGCACGGGUGCUUGCACCUGGUGGCGAGUGGCGAACGGGUGAGUAAUACAUCGGAACGUGUCCCGUAGAGGGGGAUAGCUCGGCGAAAGCCGGAUUAAUACCGCAUGAGAUCUACGGAUGAAAGCUGGGGACCUUCGGGCCUAGCGCUAUGGGGGCGGCCGAUGUCAGAUUAGGUAGUUGGUGGGGUAAAGGCCUACCAAGCCGACGAUCUGUAGCUGGUCUGAGAGGAUGAUCAGCCACACUGGAACUGAGACACGGUCCAGACUCCUACGGGAGGCAGCAGUGGGGAAUUUUGGACAAUGGGCGCAAGCCUGAUCCAGCCAUGCCGCGUGCAGGAAGAAGGCCUUCGGGUUGUAAACUGCUUUUGUCAGGAACGAAAAGCCCUGUGUGAAUAAUGCGGGGUGCUGACGGUACCUGAAGAAUAAGCACCGGCUAACUACGUGCCAGCCGCCGCCGUAACAC
rnacentral:rRNA from 1 species